CGCACCUUGCACCCUUUGGUAUUCCGAAGGGUAUGCCUGUUUGAGUGUCAUUAAAUUCUCAACCUUAUAAGCUUUUGUUUGUAAGGCUUGGAUGUGAGGGUAUAUUGCUGGCUUCCUUAAGUGUGAUGGUCAGCUCCCUUGAAAUGUAUUAGUGGAAUCCUUUGUGGAACACUUGAGUGUAAUAAUUAUUGUGCUCUUGCUGUGAAACAAUUUUAAGUGAAUCUGCUUACAACCGUCUGCAAGGACAAUUUACUUGACAAUUUGACCUCAAAUCAGGUAGGACUACCCGCUGAACUUAA
rnacentral:misc_RNA from 1 species